AGCGAACGCUGGCGGCAGGCUUAACACAUGCAAGUCGAGCGGGCACUUUCGGGUGUCAGCGGCGGACGGGUGAGUAACGCGCGGGAACGUGCCCUCUGGUUCGGAAUAACUCAGGGAAACUUGAGCUAAUACCGGAUACGCCCUUUUGGGGAAAGGCUUGCUGCCGGAGGAUCGGCCCGCGUCUGAUUAGCUAGUUGGUGAGGUAACGGCUCACCAAGGCGACGAUCAGUAGCUGGUCUGAGAGGAUGAUCAGCCACACUGGGACUGAGACACGGCCCAGACUCCUACGGGAGGCAGCAGUGGGGAAUAUUGGACAAUGGGCGCAAGCCUGAUCCAGCCAUGCCGCGUGAGUGAUGAAGGCCUUAGGGUUGUAAAGCUCUUUUAUCCGGGACGAUAAUGACGGUACCGGAGGAAUAAGCCCCGGCUAACUUCGUG
rnacentral:rRNA from 1 species